rnacentral:rRNA from 1 species
UGUACACACCGCCCGUCACACCAUGAGAGUUGGCAACACCCGAAGUCAGUGAGCUAACCGGUAACGGAGGCAGCUGCCGAAGGUGGGGUCGAUGAUUGGGGUGAAGUCGUAACAAGGUAGCCGUAGGAGAACCUGCGGCUGGAUCACCUCCUU